AAAAAAAAGACUAACAUCUUUGUAACAUGAGAGAUACUUCACCAAGAAGAUACUUUUUAUCCCCCAAAUAUUAUAUAGAAACAUUGUGGCUAGCUAGCUAUCAAUCAUCUAUCUAUCCGGAGAAGUGGAGAGUUAAAAGCAGAUCCCUCCCACCCACACAGAUGCAGAAUUCCAGGUGGCUGAAAGAACCUGAGAAAAGGAAAGAAUUUUCUUCAUCAUCAACUACCUCAAGAGACCGAAACAGAGACCAGAUGAUGUUCUUCAUGACACUUCUCAUCUCUGCAUCUCCCUAUUCCCCAAAACUGGAAAGUAAGAAUCUGAAGCCUACUCUUUUAUGCUGACCCAUCACUCUGAUGCCAGGGCGUUGUUGAUUCCAGUUAUUCUUCUCAACUGAUCUCCUGUCCACAGCUUCCUUAAUGAUCGCUUUUAUUAGGACCAUACAUUUCAUAGCUAUUGUCAUAUUUUGUUUGUACGAAAUCUUAAAAGUUUGUGCAGAAGAGCCUUCCC
ensembl:lncRNA